GCCCGGGUGGUGGAAUUGGUAGACGCAGGGGACUCAAAAUCCCCCGCCGCAAGGCGUGCCGGUUCGAUUCCGGCCCCGGGCA
rnacentral:tRNA from 1 species